rnacentral:rRNA from 1 species
AUACGGAGGGUGCGAGCGUUAAUCGGAAUUACUGGGCGUAAAGGGUGCGUAGGCGGCUUGAUAAGUCGGAUGUGAAAGCCCCGGGCUUAACCUGGGAAUUGCAUUCGAUACUGUCAGGCUAGAGUAUGUCAGAGGUUGGCGGAGUUCCUGGUGUAGCGGUGAAAUGCGUAGAUAUCAGGAGGAACACCAGUGGCGAAGGCGGCUAACUGGGGCAAUACUGACGCUGAGGCACGAAAGCGUGGGGAGCAAACAGGAUUAGAAACCCCAGUAGUCC